AGUGAACGCUGGCGGUAGGCCUAACACAUGCAAGUCGAACGGCAGCACAGGAAAGCUUGCUCUCUGGGUGGCGAGUGGCGGACGGGUGAGGAAUACAUCGGAAUCUACUCUGUCGUGGGGGAUAACGUAGGGAAACUUACGCUAAUACCGCAUACGACCUACGGGUGAAAGCAGGGGAUCUUCGGACCUUGCGCGAUUGAAUGAGCCGAUGUCGGAUUAGCUAGUUGGCGGGGUAAAGGCCCACCAAGGCGACGAUCCGUAGCUGGUCUGAGAGGAUGAUCAGCCACACUGGAACUGAGAUACGGUCCAGACUCCUACGGGAGGCAGCAGUGGGGAAUAUUGGACAAUGGGCGCAAGCCUGAUCCAGCCAUACCGCGUGGGUGAAGAAGGCCUUCGGGUCGUAAAGCCCUUUUGUUGGGAAAGAAAUCCAGCUGGCUAAUACCCGGUUGGGAUGACGGUACCCAAAGAAUAAGCACCGGCUAACUUCGUGCCAGCCGCCGCCGUAA
rnacentral:rRNA from 1 species